rnacentral:rRNA from 1 species
CGGACCGGCGCACGGGUGAGUAACGCGUAUGCAACUUGCCUAUCAGGAGGGGAUAACCCGGCGAAAGUCGGACUAAUACCGCAUGAAGCAGGGGCCCCGCAUGGGGAUAUUUGCUAAAGAUUCAUCGCUGAUAGAUAGGCAUGCGUUCCAUUAGGCAGUUGGCGGGGUAACGGCCCACCAAACCGACGAUGGAUAGGGGUUCUGAGAGGAAGGUCCCCCACAUUGGUACUGAGACACGGACCAAACUCCUACGGAAGGCAGCAG